AGGUCCAGCCUGCCCAGUGACCACUUAAACGGCCGCGGUAUCCUAACCGUGCAAAGGUAGCAUAAUCAUUUGUUCUCUAAAUAAGGACUCGUAUCAACGGCAUCACGAGGGUUGUACUGUCUCCCCCCUCUAAUCAGUGAAACUGACCUCCCCGUGAAGAGGCGGGGAUUUUUAUACAAGACGAGAAGACCCCAUGGAGCUUUAAACCCAAUAUAUCUAUUGGUUUUAGGUUGGGGUGACCACGGAGUAAAACAUAACCUCCUCCUAAUCCAAGAGCUACUGCUCUAAGAAUCAAAAAUUUGACGUAAUAUGAUCCCAACGAACCAAGUUACCCUGGGGAUAACAGCGCAAUCCAUUUCAAGAGCUCUUAUCGACAAAUGGGUUUACGACCUCGAUGUUGGAUCAGGGUAUCCCAGUGGUGCAGCCACUACUAAAGGUUUGUUUGUUCACA
rnacentral:rRNA from 1 species